rnacentral:rRNA from 1 species
CAGGACGAACGCUGGCGGCGUGCCUAAUACAUGCAAGUCGAACGGUCUUUCUAUGGAAGCUUGCUUCCACUGAGAAGAUAGUGGCGGACGGGUGAGUAACACGUGGGUAACCUGCCCAUAAGAGGGGGAUAACAUCCGGAAACGGGUGCUAAUACCGCAUAGUUUUCUUGAUCGCAUGAUUGAGAAAGGAAAGACGGCCUUUGUGCUGUCGCUUAUGGAUGGACCCGCGGCGUAUUAGUUAGUUGGUGAGGUAACGGCUCACCAAGACGAUGAUACGUAGCCGACCUGAGAGGGUGAUCGGCUACAUUGGGACUGAGACACGGCCCAAACUCCUACGGGAGGCAGCAGUAGGGAAUCUUCCGCAAUGGACGAAAGUCUGACGGAGCAACGCCGCGUGAGUGAAAGAAGGUUUUCGGAUCGUAAAACUCUGUUGUCAGAGAAGAACAAGUCGGAGAGUAACUGCUCCGGCCUUGACGGUAUCUGACCAGAAAGCCACGGCUAACUACGUGCCAGCCGCCGC